CCUACGGGGGGCAGCAGUCGAGAAUCAUUCACAAUGGGGGCAACCCUGAUGGUGCGACGCCGCGUGUGGGAAUGAAGCUCUUCGGAUUGUAAGCCCCUGUCAUGUGGGAGCAAAUUAAAAAGAUAGUACCACAAGAGACAGAGACGGCUAACUCUGUGCCAGCCGCCGCGGUAAUACACAGGUCUCAAGCGUUGUCCGGCAUCACUGGGCGUAAAGCGUGCGUAGGCGGUUUCGUAAGCCGGGUGUGAAAGGCCAGGGCUCAACCCGGGGACUGCACAUGAUCCUGCGAGACUAGAGUAAUGGAGGGGGAACUAGAAUUCUCGGUGUAGCAGUGAAAUGCGUAGAGAUCGAGAGGAACACUCGUGGCGAAGGCGGGUUCCUGGACAUAAACUGACGCUGAGGCACGAAGGCCAGGGGAGCGAAAGGGAUUAGAUACCCCAGUAGUC
rnacentral:rRNA from 1 species